rnacentral:tRNA from 2 species
CCUUCGAUAGCUCAGUUGGUAGAGCGGUGGACUGUAGAAGAUCACAUCAAAGAUAGAGAGUAAUCCAUAGGUCGCUGGUUCAAAUCCGGCUCGAAGGA